UACAGAGGUCUCAAGCGUUGUUCGGAUUUAUUGGGCGUAAAGGGCGCGUAGGCGGCGGGGUAAGUCGGGUGUGAAAUCUCAGGGCUCAACCCUGAAACUGCACUUGAUACUGCUCUGCUUGAGGACUGGAGAGGAGACUGGAAUUCACGGUGUAGCAGUGAAAUGCGUAGAUAUCGUGAGGAAGACCAGUGGCGAAGGCGGGUCUCUGGGCAGUAACUGACGCUGAGGAGCGAAAGCGUGGGGAGCGAACAGG
rnacentral:rRNA from 1 species